UACGUAGGGCGCAAGCGUUGUCCGGAAUUAUUGGGCGUAAAGAGCUCGUAGGCGGCUUGUCACGUCGGGUGUGAAAACUCGGGGCUUAACCCCGAGCCUGCAGUGGAUACGGGCAGACUAGAGGUAGGUAGGGGAGAAUGGAAUUCCCGGUGUAGCGGUGAAAUGCGCAGAUAUCGGGAGGAACACCGGUGGCGAAGGCGGUUCUCUGGGCCUUGCCUGACGCUGAGGAGCGAAAGCGUGGGGAGCGAACAGG
rnacentral:rRNA from 1 species